UAGAUCCUCUACUUUCCUACUUCUUCCCGAGGAGGCCAAUCUCUGCCGUGGAAGCAAUUUCUUCCAGAUAGCUGUCGCGAGCUCGAAAGAGCAUGCUCCUUGAGUCCGCGACGUGUACGGACGGACGAAUGCAAUGAGCAACGUAAUUGCGCAAUGGCAAAGACGAGAGCUGGGAUUGUCCGCUCUGGCCAUGCUCACCCAAACAAGCUGAUGGAUAUGAUGGUCUACUAUUGCACCAUAAUGUUGCUGCGGUCACAAAGGUGGAAUGAGAGCAUGUAGACGACAUCUUUGAAAAUGAGUUGGUGGCUGAUUAAGGCUUCAAGUAUAGAAGGCAAAGAGAUGUUACUUCUAGGGGCCAGAAGCUGCUCUAUGAACAACAACAAAGAUUCAGGUCAAUUUGAAAGCAUAAAUUUUCCUUAUUUGGAGACUCUCUGAACUGUUGAUAUAAAAGAAGGGCAUCUGACCAACAUCUCAAGGUCGUGCUGCUGGUUCUUGUGGUUUGGAAAUUCAUGUUUUAAAUGUCCUGAGUGGCUUCAAAAUAGUAGUGAAGAGAAGUUGAUUACACACACACACCCCGCAAUGAUGGCUGUUCCUAAAGAGGAUGAAUCUCAUGGGCCCAUGGCAGGUGAGAUCACUUGAAGACCACUUCACGAUGGAUGCAUGCAUUGGGGGCAGAUGAACUGUUGUUCAACUACACUUGCUUUUGUUGAGUGUUCGUGUAUAAUCAAUUCUUAACACUACUUGGUAUUGAGAUCAUUCUUCAUACGCCCUGUAUGUUGUGCAGUAACACUUGACAGAUCUACAGUUUGAGGUAUGCAUUCUAAUGGACUCAAUGGAGAUAGAAGAGAUCAUGUGGAUUCAGCAAUUACUGUUCCAGACACUUCAUCUGCAAAAACAGGCAUGAUCGAUCUCUACUCCUACCGCAGGGCAGAGACCAUACCCAGUUGCUUGCAAAACCCGAGUAACUAGCAUUUGAUCAGGGGGCUGCAAAUUAAACCUUGCCCAGAUUGCCUGUUAUGACAAAUCAACUGGCAUUGUUGUCUUCCCAAUCCCAUGAGGUUUCCCUCGGCCAGUUUGGCAUUGGGGGGCAUAUAAGAAAUUUGUGGGGAAAAAAUGGAAGUUGCAAGUCUUAAGAUGGCUCAAACAAUGAUGUUGGAAUGCAUAGAAUCUCAACCCAAACAUCCUUUCUUGAAAUGUUGCCCUACUAUGAGACAUCCAUUCCUACUGAUGACACAACCAACCAAGUUUACUAAGAUGAGUAGUAAAGGCAAAAAUGCAUCUUUGGACGAUCAUAAGUGCUAGAAAAAUCAUAGAGUGGAAUUGAAUUGAACUGACACAAAUCACAACUGCAAAUUAGCCAAUUCGAAUUGUGGCACUGAAACCCUAGCUAGAAUCAUCAACAAAACAAGAAAGAAGAGUCCUCCCUUCCCAAAUCCCCAACUAUACACAGCUUUCAAUCUCCCCCUUCCUCAUCCCCAAAAAACCCACUUACUACGAUUGAACUAAACACAAAGAAUCCAAUAAACUGCAUGCAACUUACCAAAACAAAAUUCAAUCUGGA